GAUGAACGCUGGCGGUGUGCCUAAUACAUGCAAGUCGAGCGAACAGACGAGGAGCUUACUCCUCUGACGUUAGCGGCGGACGGGUGAGUAACACGUGGAUAACCUACCUAUAAGACUGGGAUAACUUCGGGAAACCGGAGCUAAUACCGGAUAACAUGUUGAACCGCAUGGUUCAACAGUGAAAGACGGUCUUGCUGUCACUUAUAGAUGGAUCCGCGUCGCAUUAGCUAGUUGGUAAGGUAACGGCUUACCAAGGCAACGAUGCGUAGCCGACCUGAGAGGGUGAUCGGCCACACUGGAACUGAGACACGGUCCAGACUCCUACGGGAGGCAGCAGUAGGGAAUCUUCCGCAAUGGGCGAAAGCCUGACGGAGCAACGCCGCGUGAGUGAAGAAGGUCUUCGGAUCGUAAAACUCUGUUAUUAGGGAAGAACAAAUGUGUAAGUAACUAUGCACGCCUUGACGGUACCUAAUCAGAAAGCCACGGCUAACUACGUG
rnacentral:rRNA from 1 species